AUUGAACGCUGGCGGCAGGCCUAACACAUGCAAGUCGAGCGGUAGAGAGAAGCUUGCUUCUCUUGAGAGCGGCGGACGGGUGAGUAAUGCCUAGGAAUCUGCCUGGUAGUGGGGGAUAACGUUCGGAAACGGACGCUAAUACCGCAUACGUCCUACGGGAGAAAGCGGGGGACCUUCGGGCCUUGCGCUAUCAGAUGAGCCUAGGUCGGAUUAGCUAGUUGGUGGGGUAAUGGCUCACCAAGGCGACGAUCCGUAACUGGUCUGAGAGGAUGAUCAGUCACACUGGAACUGAGACACGGUCCAGACUCCUACGGGAGGCAGCAGUGGGGAAUAUUGGACAAUGGGCGAAAGCCUGAUCCAGCCAUGCCGCGUGUGUGAAGAAGGUCUUCGGAUUGUAAAGCACUUUAAGUUGGGAGGAAGGGCAGUAAGUUAAUACCUUGCUGUUUUGACGUUACCGACAGAAUAAGCACCGGCUAACUCUGUG
rnacentral:rRNA from 1 species